UUAUUUUCUUUUCCUUUUUCUCUUCUCCCUUUCGGUGGACAGCAGCUCCCUCUUUCCCUUUUCUUUUCUUUUUCUUCCUCUCCUCUCCUUCCUCUCUCACGCUGCACGCCCGAUCUCCCCUCUCCCUUUCUUCUUCCUCUCUUUGUCUUCCUCUCACACACGCACGAACAUGAGAGAGACCCAGCGUGUGAGAGAGCAUCCCGAGAGUUGGAAGUGAGAUGUUAGCCGUAGGUGGUGCGAUUUUUGGGCUUCGGUGGCUGGGCCACCGUCGUGGCGUGGCAGCAGCGACUAGGCAAUGGAUUUCGGCCUUGAUUCGGAUGGUGUCCGGAUUGGAGACUUCAAUGGGUUCUCCAAUGUAGAGUUCGAGUCAUGUGUCCAAUUCAGUCAAAUGAUGUUCCUUUGGCUGCAGGUUUUCCGAUCAUAGUUGAUAGCAUUGUUGAAGGGCACUUGGGAUGUUACGACUGAAGCACGUCGCAACAGUCAAAGUUGGUGGACUACGGGUUGUCCACUUGUUUAUAGGUUUGGUUUAUGGCUUGUGACAAUUGUGUCACUUAUUUUUGUAAAGCCAUUUUUGUUAUGUAUUUAUAUUGAGGAAAGACUUAAACAGAUAGAUGUAAUAUGGCUCUUUGUUUAUGAUUAUUUGUAAUAGAAGUUUAUGUUAUGAUUUCCGUUAUUUAGGUUUA